rnacentral:lncRNA from 1 species
GCAGACUGACACAUGAGGUGAUGAUUCAGUUCUGGUUCAGUGUCACUAACUAUUGUCUGCUCCUCAGGGGACCCGGCUGGAAACAGGAGUCGGGGCCACGAUGCGGUGCUGAUAACUCUGUCCGUUAUCGGGAACAGUUUCCUGGUGUCAUUUCUGGGUCUUUCUGGACAAGUGUAGGUCCAGCUGCGUCUUUGGGAAUUAUGGACAAAUCAGCAAUGAUCAGACAGAGCAACAUCAGUCAGUGACAUUAGAAAUGUUAACACCCUCAGUGAUGACCAGGUCCAGAGUGUGACCUCUGGUCUGGGUCGGCUCACUAACGUGCUGACUAAGGCCGUAGGUUCCAUGGACAGCAGAAAGUCCUUUGGUGUUUCUGUCACAGGUCUUAUCCACGUGGACAUUAGAAUCAGCUGUGAUAACUAAAGAGUCUUGAAAAAAAGAUUAUUGAUUAAAAAUGAUUUGUUCCCAUCACACU